GUUGUGCAGGGGUACAGAACAUGGCAUCAUGUGGCCAUGAGCACUCUUGGCGGCCACCUGUGGCUGUGUGCACUUCAGGUGCACGUGAAGCAGCUGCGGGUGCUCCAGGGCGUGCUUAGACUAAUGCACAACUGAG
rnacentral:snoRNA from 1 species